rnacentral:rRNA from 1 species
UACGGAGGGGGUUAGCGUUGUUCGGAAUUACUGGGCGUAAAGCGCACGUAGGCGGAUUAGCAAGUUAGGGGUGAAAUCCCGGGGCUCAACCCCGGAACGGCCCUUAAAACUGUUAGUCUUGAGUUCGAGAGAGGUAAGUGGAAUUCCGAGUGUAGAGGUGAAAUUCGUAGAUAUUCGGAGGAACACCAGUGGCGAAGGCG